rnacentral:sRNA from 1 species
UUCUUCUUACCAUCAAGUUCUGUGUCGCAACGAUCCCUUCCUCCCCGUGCUCCCUCUCGGGACAUUGGGAUGUGUGAGGUUGAUUGUUCGCGAACGUCUCGACUAUUUUUGUGGAGCCAUUAUCGCACUUCCAUUAAUGACUGAACCCAGUCGACAGAACUGAGAUUGACCCGAGACCUUUUCGCGCCCCUCGGGGCAAGGUCCGUCUUGAGCUCGCCUCUCUCUCGGGAGGUUGAGCUCGACGGGCUGAAAAUGGUGUGUAGGGAGACGUCUUAUUCCCAAGCUUGGUGUGAUCCUCGUCGAGGAAUGACCAUUGGGCGAAACCAAGGCUAUUGUCUACAUUC